rnacentral:tRNA from 1 species
ACCUGGGUGGCUCAGUCAGUUAAGCAUCUGACUUUGGCUCAGGUCAUGAUCUCAAGGGUUGUGGGUUGGAGCCCCACAUCAGGUU